rnacentral:rRNA from 1 species
CGACGCAACGCGAAGAACCUUACCAAGACUUGACAUUGAUUGAAAAGCUAAGAGAUUAGCUCCUCUUCUUCGGAAGACAAGAAAACAGGUGGUGCAUGGCUGUCGUCAGCUCGUGUCGUGAGAUGUUGGGUUAAGUCCGCAACGAGCGCAACCCUAUCCUAUGUUGCCAGCGAGUAAUGUCGGGAACUCAUGGGAGACUGCCGCAGACAAUGCGGAGGAAGGCGGGGAUGACGUCAAGUCAUCAUGCCCCUUAUGUCUUGGGCUACACACGUACUACAAUGGACUUAAAUAGAGGGAAGCAAUACCGCGAGGUGGAGCCAAACCCAGAAACAAGUUCUCAGUUCGGAUUGUAGGCUGCAACUCGCCUACAUGAAGUCGGAAUCGCUAGUAAUCGCAGGUCAGCAUACUGCGGUGAAUACGUUCCCGGGCCUU